rnacentral:rRNA from 1 species
CAGCAGCCGCGGGAAUACAGAGGGUGCAAGCGUUAAUCGGAAUUACUGGGCGUAAAGCGCGCGUAGGUGGUUUGUUAAGUUGGAUGUGAAAUCCCCGGGCUCAACCUGGGAACUGCAUCCAAAACUGGCAAGCUAGAGUAUGGUAGAGGGUGGUGGAAUUUCCUGUGUAGCGGUGAAAUGCGUAGAUAUAGGAAGGAACACCAGUGGCGAAGGCGACCACCUGGACUGAUACUGACACUGAGGUGCGAAAGCGUGGGGAGCAAACAGGAUUAGAUACCCGAGUAGUCCUGUUUCUUAUACA